rnacentral:rRNA from 1 species
GAUGAACGCUGGCGGCGUGCCUAAUACAUGCAAGUCGAACGAAGCGGGGACGGGUGAGUAACACGUGGAUAACCUCCUAUAAGACUGGGAUAAAUUCGGGAAACCGGAACUAAACCGGAUGCUUAUAAAUUGAUCCGCGCUGCAUUAGCUAGUUGGUAAGGUACAGGCUUACCAAGGCAACGAUGCAUAGCCGACCUGAGAGGGUGAACGGCCACACGGGAACGGGGACACGUGCCAGACUCCUACGGGAGGCAGCAGUAGGGAAUCUUCCGCAAUGGGCGAAAGCCUGACGGAGCAACGCCGCGUGAGUGAUGAAGGUCUUCGGAUCGUAAAACUCUGUUAUUAGGGAAGCGGUACCUAAUCAGAAAGCAACGGCUAACUACGUGCCAGCAGCCGCGGUAAUAC